CCUACAGGGUAGCCCUGAGUGAGGCCAGUCCCUGGCCAUUUUGUGCAUCAUGAAAUGGGAAUGACACAACCCAUGGAGUGGAUUUUUCGUAGUGGUCCCUCCAUCUACUGGGGCCUGCUCUGAGGGGAAUCUUCUCGCCAGCUGCCUGAAAGGGCUCUGGAGAGCCCCCGUUCACUGCCUUCAUGUCUGGCAGUUUGGAGGGGACCUUGGACCUCCUUGUAGCAUCUGGGUGCUUGUGAAGACCCAUCUGUGUGAGUCCCGCUUGUUGGCUCACCUAAGAGCUGGGAAUAGCUCCCUGUUCACCCUGGGGGGCUGGGCACAGAAGGCAUGGGGCCGGCCCCCAGACCCCUUCAGCUGCCAGCCCCUGGCCUGUGCCUUCCGACCAUCAGCCAUUUCUUGCUGAGUUCCUUCCCAGCCAGAGGCGCAGAAUGCUGGGCAGACUCCAACCUGGACAGGGCCAUGGAACAGAUGUGCUGGUUCCUCUCUGAGUCGCUUCUACGGUGGUGCUGGUGGUGGUGGCGACUUGAUGGGCAUUGUCAGCUUCCAUAAGGAAGCAGAGUCCCGGCGGCCAUCCCUGAAGGUGAAGCCUCCACUUGGUCUGGAGGACUGAGUCAGAACCAUUGGACCCUGCUCACUUCCAGGCAGCAGCAGGCAUGGCUGGCCCUUGACCCCUGCACUCCGAGAUGCCCAGACCAAAGAAGCUGCUGUUCUUAGCAAGAUGCAUACUGCGUUCAUAGCCAAGAAGAUUUGGGGAGGCAGGGCUCACUGUCUAGCCCACAGACGUCAGGCAUCGGAACCCACGUUUCCUAGCAGCUCACCUGGGCAGCAACCCAAGAUGAGCAGAAGAGCAGAGCAUCGACCCACCUACAUGAGCAGCACCUGGACUCUUAAAAGGCUCCACCUGCUCAGGCCACAUCUCACUUGAGCUGCCUCUGGAGUUUGGGGUACACAACCCCUAAAAUGAGCUUUACUUAAGGUGACCUAGGUUGUGGGAUGGGAACAGAGGCCUCAAGUGGCUGCUCUGGAAGAAA